rnacentral:rRNA from 1 species
GUGCCAGCAGCCGCGGUAAUACGUAGGGCGCAAGCGUUGUCCGGAAUUAUUGGGCGUAAAGAGCUCGUAGGCGGUUUGUCGCGUCUGCUGUGAAAGCCCGGGGCUUAACCCCGUGGUGUGCAGUGGGUACGGGCAGACUAGAGUGCAGUAGGGGAGACUGGAAUUCCUGGUGUAGCGGUGAAAUGCGCAGAUAUCAGGAGGAACACCGAUGGCGAAGGCAGGUCUCUGGGCUGUUACUGACGCUGAGGAGCGAAAGCAUGGGGAGCGAACAGGAUUAGAUACCCUGGUAGUCC